UGCACAGCAACUCCUAUCCCUACCUCCUCGUGGUACUGACAGGGAAGG
rnacentral:ribozyme from 1 species